UACGUAGGGUGCAGGCGUUAAUCGGAAUUACUGGGCGUAAAGCGUGCGCAGGCGGUUGUGUAAGACAGAUGUGAAAUCCCCGGGCUCAACCUGGGAACUGCAUUUGUGACUGCACAGCUGGAGUGCGGCAGAGGGGGAUGGAAUUCCGCGUGUAGCAGUGAAAUGCGUAGAUAUGCGGAGGAACACCGAUGGCGAAGGCAAUCCCCUGGGCCUGCACUGACGCUCAUGCACGAAAGCGUGGGGAGCAAACAGG
rnacentral:rRNA from 1 species